rnacentral:rRNA from 1 species
GGGAAUCUUGCGCAAUGGGCGAAAGCCUGACGCAGCCAUGCCGCGUGAAUGAUGAAGNNNUUAGGNUUGUAAAAUUCUUUCACNGGGNACGAUAAUGACGGUACCCGGAGAAGAAGCCCCGGCUAACUUCGUGCCAGCAGCCGCGGUAAUACGAAGGGGGCUAGCGUUGCUCGGAAUUACUGGGCGUAAAGGGCGCGUAGGCGGAUCGUUAAGUCAGGGGUGAAAUCCCGGGGCUCAACCUCGGAACUGCCCUUGAUACUGGCGAUCUUGAGUAUGAGAGAGGUAUGUGGAACUCCGAGUGUAGAGGUGAAAUUCGUAGAUAUUCGGAAGAACACCAGUGGCGAAGGCGACAUACUGGCUCAUUACUGACGCUGAGGCGCGAAAGCGUGGGGAGCAAACA